UCCCCCUGGCAAUGGGCAGAGAGCCCUUGAUGCUGGCGUUGUUCUUAUGUCAGUCAGGGGCAGAGCAGAUGGCAGUCCUCUGUUCAUCCUAGCUUGAUGCCUGGCUUGGUGGCCAAAGAUGUUUUGUGCCUAGGACUCAUAA